UACGGAGGGUGCAAGCGUUAUCCGGAUUCACUGGGUUUAAAGGGUGCGUAGGUGGGUUGGUAAGUCAGUGGUGAAAUCUCCGAGCUUAACUUGGAAACUGCCAUUGAUACUAUCAGUCUUGAAUAUUGUGGAGGUUAGCGGAAUAUGUCAUGUAGCGGUGAAAUGCUUAGAUAUGACAUAGAACACCAAUUGCGAAGGCAGCUGGCUACGCAUAUAUUGACACUGAGGCACGAAAGCGUUGGGGAUCAAACAGG
rnacentral:rRNA from 1 species